UUUUUCUCUCUCCCUCUCUACCGGCUGCCACGCUGGGUGAAGAACUCUAAGUACCUACUAGACGGGGUCGGGUUUUGCUUAGGCAAGAAAAGCGGAGAGGAUCCCCACGAAAAUUCUGAAACCGGGGGAUCUCGGCGCGCAUUUUACUUGACCUAAGCGGCUGGCUUGGCUCCCUCUUUUUUUCUCUCUCCCUCUCUACGGCUGCCAUGCUGGGUGAAGAACUCUAAGGACCUACUAGGCGGGGGUCGGGUUUUGCUUAGGCAAGAAAAGCGGAGAGGAUCCCCACGAAAAUUCUGAAACCGGGGGAUCUCGGCGCGCAUUUUACUUGAUCUAAGCGGCUGGCUUGGCUCCCUCAUUUUUUUCUCUCUCCCUCUCUACAGGCUGCCACGCUGGGUGAAGAACUCUAAGUACCUACUAGGCGGGGUCGGGUUUUGCUUAGGCAAGAAAAGCGGAGAGGAUCCCCACGAAAAUUCUGAAACCGGGGGAUCUCGGCGCGCAUUUUACAUGACCUAAGCGGCUGGCUUGGCUCCCUCUUUUUUUUCUCUCCCCACUCUACCGGCUGCCAUGCUGGGUGAAGAACUCUAAGGACCUACUAGGCGGGAUCGGGUUUUGCUUAGGCAAGAAAAGCGGAGAGGAUCCCCACGAAAAUUCUGAAACCGGGGGAUCUCGGCGCGCAUUUUACUUGACUAAGCGGCUGGCUUGGCUCCCUCUUUUUUUCUCUCUCUCUCUACAGGCUGCCAUGCUGGGUGAAAGAACUCUAAGGACCUACUAGGCGGGUCGGGUUUUGCUUAGGCAAGAAAAGCGGAGAGGAUCCCCACGAAAAUUCUGAAACCGGGGGAUCUCGGCGCGCAUUUUACAUGUCCUAAGCGGCUGGCUUGGCUCCCUCUUUUUUUCUCUCUCCCUCUCUACAGGCUGCCAUGCUGGGUGAAGAACUCUAAGACCUACUAGGCGGGGUCGGGUUUUGCUUAGGCAAGAAAAGCGGAGAGGAUCCCCACGAAAAUUCUGAAACCGGGGGAUCUCGGCGCGCAUUUUACUGACCUAAGCGGCUGGCUUGGCUCCCUCUUUUUUUUCUCUCCCUCUCUACCGGCUGCCAUGCUGGGUGAAGAACUCUAAGGACCUACUAGGCGGGUCGGGUUUUGCUUAGGCAAGAAAAGCGGAGAGGAUCCCCACGAAAAUUCUGAAACCGGGGAUCUCGGCGCGCAUUUUACUUGACUAAGCGGCUGGCUUGGCUCCCUCUUUUUUUCUCUCUCCCUCUCUACCGGCUGCCAUGCUGGGAAGAACUCUAAGACCUACUAGGCGGGUCGGGUUUUGCUUAGGCAAGAAAAGCGGAGAGGAUCCCCACGAAAAUUCUGAAACCGGGGGAUCUCGGCGCGCAUUUUACUUGACCUAAGCGGCUGGCUUGGCUCCCUCUUUUUUUUCUCUCCUCUCUACCGGCUGCCAUGCUGGGUGAAGAACUCUAAGGACCUACUAGGCGGGGUCGGGUUUUGCUUAGGCAAGAAAAGCGGAGAGGAUCCCCACGAAAAUUCUGAAACCGGGGGAUCUCGGCGCGCAUUUUACUUGACCUAAGCGGCUGGCUUGGCUCCCUCUUUUUUUCUCUCUCCCUCUCUACCGGCUGCCAUGCUGGGUGAAGAACUCUAAGGACCUACUAGGCGGGUCGGGUUUUGCUUAGGCAAGAAAAGCGGAGAGGAUCCCCACGAAAAUUCUGAAACCGGGGAUCUCGGCGCGCAUUUUACUUGACCUAAGCGGCUGGCUUGGCUCCCUCUUUUUUUUCUCUCUCCCUCUCUACCGGCUGCCAUGCUGGGUGAAGAACUCUAAGGACCUACUAGGCGGGGUCGGGUUUUGCUUAGGCAAGAAAAGCGGAGAGGAUCCCCACGAAAAUUCUGAAACCGGGGAUCUCGGCGCGCAUUUUACUUGACUAAGCGGCUGGCUUGGCUCCCUCUUUUUUUUCUCUCUCCCUCUCUACCGGCUGCCAUGCUGGGUGAAGAACUCUAAGGACCUACUAGGCGGGUCGGGUUUUGCUUAGGCAAGAAAAGCGGAGAGGAUCCCCACGAAAAUUCUGAAACCGGGGGAUCUCGGCGCGCAUUUUACUUGACCUAAGCGGCUGGCUUGGCUCCCUCUUUUUUUCUCUCUCCUCUCUACCGGCUGCCAUGCUGGGUGAAGAACUCUAAGGACCUACUAGGCGGGUCGGGUUUUGCUUAGGCAAGAAAAGCGGAGAGGAUCCCCACGAAAAUUCUGAAACCGGGGAUCUCGGCGCGCAUUUUACUUGACCUAAGCGGCUGGCUUGGCUCCCUCUUUUUUUUCUCUCCCCUCUACCGGCUGCCAUGCUGGGUGAAGAACUCUAAGGACCUACUAGGCGGGUCGGGUUUUGCUUAGGCAAGAAAAGCGGAGAGGAUCCCCACGAAAAUUCUGAAACCGGGGGAUCUCGGCGCGCAUUUUACUUGACCUAAGCGGCUGGCUUGGCUCCCUCUUUUUUUUCUCUCUCCCUCUCUACCGCUGCAUGACCUACUAGGCGGGGUCGGGUUUUGCUUAGGCAAGAAAAGCGGAGAGGAUCCCCACGAAAAUUCUGAAACCGGGGAUCUCGGCGCGCAUUUUACUUGACCUAAGCGGCUGGCUUGGCUCCCUCUUUUUUUUCUCUCCCUCUCUACAGGCUGCCAUGCUGGGUGAAGAACUCUAAGGACCUACUAGGCGGGUCGGGUUUUGCUUAGGCAAGAAAAGCGGAGAGGAUCCCCACGAAAAUUCUGAAACCGGGGGAUCUCGGCGCGCAUUUUACUGACCUAAGCGGCUGGCUUGGCUCCCUCUUUUUUUUCUCUCUCCCUCUCUACCGGCUGCCAUGCUGGGUGAAGAACUCUAAGGACCUACUAGGCGGGUCGGGUUUUGCUUAGGCAAGAAAAGCGGAGAGGAUCCCCACGAAAAUUCUGAAACCGGGGGAUCUCGGCGCGCAUUUUACUUGACUAAGCGGCUGGCUUGGCUCCCUCUUUUUUUUCUCUCUCCUCUCUACCGGCUGCCAUGCUGGGUGAAGAACUCUAAGGACCUACUAGGCGGGUCGGGUUUUGCUUAGGCAAGAAAAGCGGAGAGGAUCCCCACGAAAAUUCUGAAACCGGGGGAUCUCGGCGCGCAUUUUACUUGACCUAAGCGGCUGGCUUGGCUCCCUCUUUUUUUUCUCUCCCUCUCUACCGGCUGCCAUGCUGGGUGAAGAACUCUAAGGACCUACUAGGCGGGUCGGGUUUUGCUUAGGCAAGAAAAGCGGAGAGGAUCCCCACGAAAAUUCUGAAACCGGGGGAUCUCGGCGCGCAUUUUACUUGACUAAGCGGCUGGCUUGGCUCCCUCUUUUUUUCUCUCUCCCUCUCUACCGGCUGCCAUGCUGGGUGAAGAACUCUAAGGACCUACUAGGCGGGUCGGGUUUUGCUUAGGCAAGAAAAGCGGAGAGGAUCCCCACGAAAAUUCUGAAACCGGGGAUCUCGGCGCGCAUUUUACUUGACUAAGCGGCUGGCUUGGCUCCCUCUUUUUUUCUCUCUCCCUCUCUACCGCUGCCAUGCUGGGUGAAGAACUCUAAGACCUACUAGGCGGGUCGGGUUUUGCUUAGGCAAGAAAAGCGGAGAGGAUCCCCACGAAAAUUCUGAAACCGGGGGAUCUCGGCGCGCAUUUUACUUGACCUAAGCGGCUGGCUUGGCUCCCUCUUUUUUUCUCUCUCCCUCUCUACAGGCUGCCAUGCUGGUGAAGAACUCUAAGGACCUACUAGGCGGGGUCGGGUUUUGCAACCCUAAGCAGCUUGGU
rnacentral:lncRNA from 1 species